AACGAACGCUGGCGGCAGGCCUAACACAUGCAAGUCGAGCGAACCGCAAGGUUAGCGGCGGACGGGUUAGUAACGCGUGGGAACGUGCCCAAAGGUACGGAAUAGCCUCGGGAAACUGAGAGUAAUACCGUAUGUGCCCGAAAGGGGAAAGAUUUAUCGCCUUUGGAUCGGCCCGCGUUGGAUUAGGUAGUUGGUGGGGUAACGGCCUACCAAGCCGACGAUCCAUAGCUGGUUUGAGAGGAUGAUCAGCAACACUGGGACUGAGACACGGCCCAGACUACUACGGGAGGCAGCAGUGGGGAAUCUUAGACAAUGGGGGAAACCCUGAUCUAGCCAUGCCGCGUGAGCGAUGAAGGCCUUAGGGUUGUAAAGCUCUUUCACCGGGGAAGAUAAUGACGGUACCCGGAGAAGAAGCCCCGGCUAACUCCGUGCCAGCCGCCGCCGUAAAAC
rnacentral:rRNA from 1 species